rnacentral:rRNA from 1 species
CCCCUAGAUGUUCUGGGCCGCACGCGCGCUACACUGAACAGUUCAACAAGUCUUAACCUUGGCCGAUAGGUCUGGGUAAUCUUUGAACGCUGUUCGUGAUUGGGAUAGACCUUUGCAAUUAUGGGUCUUCAACGAGGAAUUCCUAGUAAACGCAAGUCAUCAGCUUGCAUUGAUUACGUCCCUGCCCUUUGUACACACCGCCCGUCGCACCUACCGAUUGAGCAAACCGGUGAAUAGUUUGGACCGUCGGCUUUCUCGGUUCGCCGGGUUAGCAGUGCGGAAAAUUCAGUGAACCUUUUUGCUUAGAGGAAGGAGAAGUCGUAACA